rnacentral:rRNA from 1 species
GAUGAACGCUGGCGGCGUGCCUAACACAUGCAAGUCGAACGUGAGGGGGUAGCAAUAUCCUUGAAAGUGGCGCACGGGUGAGUAAUACGUAGGUGACCUGCCCUGGAGUGGGGGAUAACAGCUAGAAAUGGCUGCUAAUACCGCAUAAUACGAGAAUGCUGGGAAGUGUUCUGGUAAAAACUCUGGUGCUUCAGGAGGGGCCUGCGGCCGAUUAGCUAGUUGGCGGGGUAAGGGCCCACCAAGGCAGUGAUCGGUAGCUGGUCUGAGAGGACGAUCAGCCACACGGGAACUGAGACACGGUCCCGACUCCUACGGGGGGCAGCAGUGAGGAAUAUUGGGCAAUGGGCGGAAGCCUGACCCAGCAACGCCGCGUGGAGGAAGACGGCCUUCGGGUUGUAAACUCCUUUUACGGGGGAAGAGGAAGGACGGUACCCCGAGAAUAAGUCACGGCUAACUACGUGCCAGCAGCAGCCGCAGUAA